rnacentral:rRNA from 1 species
AGAGUUGAUCAUGGCGUCAGGACGAACGCUGGCGGCAUGCCUAACACAUGCAAGUCGAACGGAAGUAGCAAUACUUUAGUGGCGAACGGGUGAGUAACACGUGAGCAACCUGCCUUAUACUCAGGGAUAACAGUUGGAAACGACUGCUAAUACCGGAUAAGACCACACUAUGGCAUCAUAGAGGGGUCAAAGUGCUUUAGCGGUAUGAGAUGGGCUCGCGUCCAAUUAGCUAGUUGGUGGGGUAACGGCCCACCAAGGCGACGAUUGGUAGCCGACUUGAGAGAGUGAUCGGCCACACUGGAACUGAGACACGGUCCAGACUCCUACGGGAGGCAGCAGUGGGGAAUAUUGGGCAAUGGAGGAAACUCUUACCCAGCCAAUGCCGCGUGAGUGAUGAAGGUCUUUGGAUUGUAAAGCUCUUUGAUUGGGGAAGAAUAAAUGACGGUACCCAAAGAACAAGCCCCGGCUAACUAUGUGCCAGCAGCCGC